UACGAAGGGGGCUAGCGUUGCUCGGAAUUACUGGGCGUAAAGCGCACGUAGGCGGCUUUCUAAGUCGGGGGUGAAAUCCUGGAGCUCAACUCCAGAACUGCCUUCGAUACUGGAGAGCUCGAGUCCGGGGAGAGGUGAGUGGAACUGCGAGUGUAGAGGUGAAAUUCGUAGAUAUUCGGAGGAACACCAGUGGCGAAAGGCGGCUCACUGGUCCAUUACUGACGCUGAGGUGCGAAAGCGUGGGGGAGCAAACAGG
rnacentral:rRNA from 1 species